AUGGCCAUAUCAUGUUGAAACACUGGUUCUCAUCUGAUUACAGAAAUUAAGCAAUGUUGAGUCUGGUCAGUAACUAGAUGGGUGACUGCUGGGGGAUACCAAGUGCUGUAA